rnacentral:rRNA from 1 species
AAAUGAAUAGACGGGGACCCGCACAAGCGGUGGAACAUGUGGUUUAAUUCGAAGCAACGCGAAGAACCUUACCAGGGCUUGACAUCUGAGGAACUUUUUGGAAACAGAAAGGUGCUCUUCGGAGAACCUCAAGACAGGUGGUGCACGGUUGUCGUCAGCUCGUGUCGUGAGAUGUUGGGUUAAGUCCCGCAACGAGCGCAACCCUCGUCGUUAGUUGCAUAUAUCGGUAUACUGAUAUAUUGCUCUCUAGCGAGACUGCCGGUGAUAAACCGGAGGAAGGUGGGGACGACGUCAAAUCAUCAUGCCCCUUAUGCUCUGGGCUACACACGUGUUACAAUGGCUAAGACAACGAGUCGCCAACUCGCGAGAGUGAGCAAAUCUCUUAAACUUAGUCUCAGUUCGGAUUGCACUCUGAAACUCGAGUGCAUGAAGUCGGAAUCGCUAGUAACUGCAGAUCAGCACGCUGCAGUGAAUACGUUCCCGGGUCUUGUACACACCGCCCGU